UAGAGGCCAUAACCAAGCCUAGGUGGGACAUACUACGACCCAUCUAGCAAUUAGGGCCUGGAUGACAACAUAGGAAUGUUGGCCGCCUUUGCCCUAAUCGAGGCCGCAUCGUCUCAACAUUGUAAAAAAGAAGGCCUUGGUUACCUCGGAUGACCCAUCCACCCACCAUUGCCUUUCCCUGUGAGGACCAUGAUUUUUA
rnacentral:lncRNA from 1 species